GUGAAACCAUUCAUAAUGUGGUUAGACUUGGUCAGAAGAUUAGGUAUACCUAAUCUUUUGACCAAGUCUAACCACAUUACAUGCUUUAAACUGCUAUUGUAAAACAAACUUUUUGCAAAAACUCUAAAAACACAGCUCUCUACAUUAUACGCAUCAUUCUCAUUUGGAAAAACACUGCCAUUUAAAUGCCACACUCAUUAAAUGAUGACCUUCAGCCAGUGAUCAUUUGUGAAAACACACAGAAUUCGUUCACUUAGAAAUCAAAACUCAGUUUUGAGAAAGAUUUUUUUACCCCCUUGCAUUUCUGUUUACAUUGUAUAUAUAUAUAUGUAUAUCUAUAUACUGUGUGUGUGUGUGUGUGUGUGUGUGUGUGUGCGCACGCGCGGUUUGCCCUCAUUCUUCUCUUCUUUCUUUAUUAGUUCAGUCUCUACAGCACGUCUGCAUGAUCUUGAGCAGUUUAAGCUCCUUCACAGCUCUGUUAUGGCGAAUGUUCAAACCAGGAUUCUUCAUCUGGAUCUCUCUAUCAUCAUUAUUUUCCUGAUUCAUGCAGAUUAUUCAAAAUCUAAUCAAGAGAAAAGGAUUCAGCAGCACAUCAACAAAACAGUGUUUGUGGGGGAAACAGUUACACUUCACUGCAACAAAACCCAACUUGAUGAUGAUUUCACAUGGAAAAUGAACAGCUUCGUUAUUUUUAGGCAGGACUCUGAAAGAAACAGAACAAUGACAAACUUCAGCUCAAACAGGAUUCACAUCGACCCCGCAGCUCCAAGAGAAUUAACAAUACAUCAAAUACAAGCGUCUGAUGCAGGAAACUACAGCUGUUACCCAGCAGCAAUAAGAUGGACAUUAACAAUAACAGACUGUUUGGUGUCGUCAGAAAAUCAGAUCAGACCAGAAUCACCCAAACAAAUGCUGUUGUACAUCAUCAUCAUCAUCAUCAUCUCAUGUUCUGGAGUCAUUAUGUUCUGUCUGAUCAUCACCAUAAGCAUCUGCAUUCAUAGGAAACUGAGACAGAAGAUCAGCUCUAGUUCAGAGGAUGUAAGUAUAUUUACCACUAGAACAGCUUAUUAUUUAGCAACUAAAUCUGCUCUUGAUUUAGAGGUUCAACUUCUAGCAAUAUAUAUUUUUUUCUACUUGUGCAUGAUCUGUAAAGGUGAAGAAGAUCUCUGACUGUGACAAACACACACUAACAGCCUGUGUAAGUCAGUUGAACUCCACACACACCUCCAUCAUGUUUACCACAUCAUGUCUGUCCCUGGCCCCCAACAAACAUCACUGACUCACUUCUUGAUGGAAACAUGUUGUGCAAUCAAACUAUUGCUCUGUAAAAAUCACUUUUGUUCCAUCCAAUUGAGACGGUGUCAUUUUAACAGCUAUAAAUAUAUAUUAUAUUUAUAAACAGCACAGCAGAUAUUUGAACAAGAGCUGAAAUGUCUGUUGUUUUUGUUUCAUUGUUUUAUCUUUGUCUUCUUCAGUAUAUAUUAUAUUAUAACAGCACAGCAGAUAUUUGUAACAAGAGCUGAAAUGUCUGUGUUUUGUUUCAUGUUUUAUCUUUGUCUCUUCAGGUCUACAGUCUUCGUACAGUUUCAUGAACAUCUUUCUUCUCAAGACAGCAGUGUGUGUGUCUGACACUUAACAGGUCAUCAUCUCAAUACAGGAAGAUGUCUGUUGGUCAUUUUCAUGCUGAGAAUGAUGUCUGAGGCUGAGAAUAUUUUCAUGGUAGUGAAUGGGACCAUCACAAUAAGUAUAAGUUCAGUAUUAGAGGAUCUAUAUGUGAAUAUGUUUUUGCCCCAACAAUUCUCUUUGCUUAUUUGAUACAAAAUAUCUAGCGAAUGAAUUUAAUUUUCAUACAGAAGAAUAUGAGUUUUAACCUUUGAUAUUGUCAGCCCUGUGUUCCUGUGUCUUGUGUUUUGCUCCCCAUGUUCUCCCUGUGACCCAGUUUCUCCCGUGUUUGAUUGUGUCCAUUUGGUUCAGGUGUGUCAGUAAUUACCUCGUUGAGUUACUGUUACUUAAGCCCUGUGUUUUCCUGUGUCCUGCGUUCUGUGUUAUAUGUCAACCGCAUGUCCUACAUGUGUGUUACCCUGUUUUUAUUCAUUAAAGACACCUUGAAGAUUCUCCCACAUCUCCGCGUCUUCUUGCUCCACACUACUUCACAGUAGGCAUAUCGUAACA
rnacentral:lncRNA from 1 species